rnacentral:rRNA from 1 species
AAAGAACUUUGAAGAGAGAGUUCAAGAGAACGUGAAAUCCUAGCGGUUGAAGCGGAGAGAGUUGACGUAGCUCGGCGGCUAAGUUUAGUGUUGUCUUUUCGGAGGCUUCGCUUUGUGGUGUCCGCUUAUAGCUGCGCCGGUAGCGUUGUUAGAGCUUUCUGACCUGGUUAGUGUUGCCCACUUCGGUGGUGUCUUGCUGCCGGCGAGGUCUGCCGUAUUAACGUUUAAUUUGCCUUACGGCAAGUACCGGUGUGAAGGUCAGCCACCUUUCCGACCCGUCUUGAAACACGGACCGAGGAGUGUAACUUGUACGCGAGUCAGAGGGUGGAAAACCCUACGGCGCAAUGAAAGUAAAGGUCGGUUAACCGGCUGACAUGGGAUCCGUGCUUCGGCGCGGCGCACCAUGGCCCUGUCUUGAGAGCUUGCUCUUGGGCAGAGGUAGAGCGUACAGGUUGCGACCCGAAAGAUGGUGAACUAUACUUGAGCAGGACGAAGCCAGAGGAAACUCUGGUGGAAGUCCGUAUCGGUUCUGACGUGCAAAUCGAUCGAUAGACUUGAGUAUAGGGGCGAAAGACUAAUCGAACCAUC